CACUCUGUGUCUUGAGUUUGAAAUCUGUCAGACAAAGUCGCUAUUAUUAGAAUGCUUAUUUACAAAUGUCACUUGAGGAGGUGUUGAGUAUUGGACCUUGCCUCCAUAUGUUCUUUUCUUGGCUUGUCCUUUAUACCAGCGUCCAUUCAGACAAUGAAGUGGGAUCUUACACACUCAGAAGAACUCUUCUGCUGAGGGAAAGUGCAAUGAGCAUGGAGCAUAAUGGAGAAACAUCAAGAGGAUCCUAUUGGGGAAGCCCUUCCUGCAGAUUCGGAUGCCUUCCAACACACCAUUACAACGCAGCUGGUGCAUCACUAGAGGGUUCUCCAUGGCUCCAGGAGUCUUGGUCUCAUUGGGGAUGAGGCAGCGUACAAAGUGGGGUCCACGGACCUCGGUGUGGACUCAAGAUAUCUGUAGAGGAAAUGCAGACCAGGAGAAGCAAAGAUAUGGUUAAGCACUCUUGAGAAGACGAUGAUCCAAACAGACAAAAUCACCAUUGAUCUAAAGCUUCAUCCAGUCGGUGCUGCAGGUCUUUGAUGGUUUGCUCCAUGUUCUUCUUCAUACGCUCCAGGUGAGCACUGGUGUCCUGCUCUUUCUUCAGCUCUUCUGCCAUCAUGGCCGCAUCGGUGAUGGCCUUCUUGGCCUUCUCCUCAGUAUUCCUGCAUUCCUGGACGGCAUCUUCUACUUCCGUCUGAAGCUGGGAGAGGAUCCGGUUGGGGAAGCCCUUCCUGCAGAUUCGGAUGCCUUCCAGCACACCGUUACAACGCAGCUGGUGCAUCACCAGAGGGUUCUCCAUGGCUCCAGGAGUCUUGGUCUCAUUGGGGAUGAUGCAGCGUACAAAGUGGGGACUGGACUCGGCAAGAUUAGAACCAACAAGCAGUGGGAGACAAGUCUGAUCGCCAGCUUUAUCUGAUCUCUGCCAGGAAUGGACCUUCUGCACUAUUCCUUACGGGGUGCCAUAAGGAGGAGAAAAAUGAUGUCCAUGGAGCCCGUGAUUGACAGCGGCUCAAGAAAACCCUUCCAUCCGUUUGUCCUC